UUAACUCAAUUUUGUAGGGAGUUGGAAGUUUGCGUACGUUUGCCGCUAGGGGCGCUGUUCCAACUGCAUACAAAUCUGAGUUA
rnacentral:pre_miRNA from 1 species